rnacentral:tRNA from 1 species
AGGGGUAUAGCUCAGUUGGUAGAGCGGCGGUCUCCAAAACCGCAGGCCGCAGGUUCGAGUCCUGCUGCCCCUG